GCGACGCCCGUUGCUCGCAUCGCGCCGCCGUCGACGCUAACCCUCAGCAUACACACGUGUAUGAGUGAACUAUAUGUGCGUGUGCGUUGAUGGUAAUCGACGACCUACAAUACGCGAAGAACUAAAACAAAACUUGGAUUUAACCGCGCGCAGCGUAAAUAUUUAUCGGCAAACAACUUGCAAAUAUUCAUACUGCCACUGUGAAGACUUUCAGAAAAACCCGGAACUGCCAGCAGGAGGUGAAAAAUAAUGGGAGCGGCCUUGGUAGAAGUCGCUAUUUGAACUGACGAGGGUUUCCAAAGGCAGGAAAAACACCAGGCAAUGAUGGUUCGUGUUGCAACGUCCGUCAAUCAUGUCGUUCUGUUGUUGAUGGUCAUCAAUCUCAUCGCAAUCACGAGUACGACUAAAUUUUAUCAUGGAUUCCAAUCAGAUAAUAUAGAAUUUCGAGCAGAAAGAAGUAUUGAUGAUGCCAAACCAAGUGAAACCAGAAAAAAUGUUGAGAAGACAAAUGGAAAAGUCUUUGACAAGCAGGGAAGUGAAAAGAACAGUCGAUCAAAUGUCUUCCACUGAGAACUCAACAAUCGUCU